GAUGAAGAACGCAGCGAAAUGCGAUAAGUAAUGUGAAUUGCAGAAUCCAGUGAAUCAUCGAAUCUUUGAACGCACAUUGCGCCCCUUGGUAUCCCGAGGGGCAUGCCUGUUCGAGCGUCAUUUCACCACUCAAGCCUGGCUUGGUGUUGGGCGACGUCCCCUUUGGGGACGCGCCUCGAAACGCUCGGCGGCGUGGCACCGGCUUUAAGCGUAGCAGAAUCUUUCGCUUUGGAAGUCGGGGCCCCGUCUGCCGGAAGACCUACUCGCAAGGUUGACCUCGGAUCAGGCAGGGAUACCCGCUGAACUUAAGCAUAUCAAUAAGCGGAGGA
rnacentral:misc_RNA from 1 species